rnacentral:rRNA from 1 species
UACGGAGGGUGCGAGCGUUGUCCGGAAUCACUGGGCGUAAAGCGCACGUAGGCGGAUCUUUAAGUCAGGGGUGAAAUCCUGGAGCUCAACUCCAGAACUGCCUUUGAUACUGGGGGAUCUCGAGUCCGGAAGAGGUGAGUGGAACUCCGAGUGUAGAGGUGAAAUUCGUAGAUAUUCGGAAGAACACCAGUGGCGAAGGCGGCUCACUGGUCCGGUACUGACGCUGAGGUGCGAAAGCGUGGGGAGCAAACAGG